rnacentral:lncRNA from 1 species
GGGGACUCCAGGAUGUUCUAACACCUGAAACUUUCCUCCUGGUUAUCAAGGAAAAUGCAGAUUCGAGCCAUCAGACUGCUUUGUGUUAUGUUCUGGGGAGGCCAGAAGAUUGCAGGGUCACACAGCAGUAAGUGCAAACCCUGCCUUCACUCCUUCCUAGUUAUAUCAGGCAGCAGGUAAGUUAAGUCAAUGAGGCUCUCAGUCUGUAGGACAUGGCUGGUAAGCGCUGACAGGAGAGACAUGUGGCAAGGAUUCUGUGUCUGCUCUUUAGUGGGGGCUUUAAUCACUGGCUGUUAUUCUUGAUUGUAGAUCUUUGAAAAGGACAUCAGGGGGCAACAUUGCAUUUGAG